CCCAUUAUCCCCCAAAUCACACAUCUUCUCUAGGAAAAUCCCCCAUUUAACUCAAAAAUCACGCGUUUCCUCUACAAAAAUCUCACAUGUAAACGAAACUCAUCAUU
rnacentral:lncRNA from 7 species